rnacentral:rRNA from 1 species
GAACGGGUGAGUAAUAUAUCGGAACGUGCCCAGUCGUGGGGGAUAACGUAGCGAAAGUUACGCUAAUACCGCAUACGAUCUAUGGAUGAAAGCGGGGGAUCGCAAGACCUCGCGCGAUUGGAGCGGCCGAUAUCAGAUUAGGUAGUUGGUGAGGUAAAGGCUCACCAAGCCGACGAUCUGUAGCUGGUCUGAGAGGACGACCAGCCACACUGGGACUGAGACACGGCCCAGACUCCUACGGGAGGCAGCAGUGGGGAAUUUUGGACAAUGGGCGAAAGCCUGAUCCAGCAAUGCCGCGUGCAGGAUGAAGGCCUUCGGGUUGUAAACUGCUUUUGUACGGAACGAAACGGCGAGCUCUAAUACAGUUUGCUAAUGACGGUACCGUAAGAAUAAGCACCGGCUAACUACGUGCCAGCAGCCGCGGUAAUACGUAGGGUGCAAGCGUUAAUCGGAAUUACUGGGCGUAAAGCGUGCGCAGGCGGUUCUAUAAGACAGGCGUGAAAUCCCCGGGCUCAACCUGGGAAUUGCGUUUGUGACUGUAGGGCUAGAGUACGGCAGAGGGGGAUGGAAUUCCGCGUGUAGCAGUGAAAUGCGUAGAUAUGCGGAGGAACACCGAUGGCGAAGGCAAUCCCCUGGGCCUGUACUGACGCUCAUGCAC